rnacentral:lncRNA from 1 species
AUUUGAGCAAGUACAGAUUCCUAAGGAGAUGUGAAGGUAUGUAAUAAAAGCCCUAGGCCUCUUGUCUUUGGGUGCCUUAUCUUCCUGCAGCCUGUUGGCACCUUAGAGUGUAAUCAGAGAUUUGUUACCCUUUUCAAAAGUCCUCUUUUAAGUUUACAAAUAGGCUUAAAGCAAGAUUUCAAAUGAGAGUUAAAAAGAUGUUAGAGAGAUAAUUAUUAUCCAGAGGCAGCGUUCAGAUUACAGCAAUAAUGAGAUAAAAGUUUCUUAGGUUUCUUCUGUCCUGCAUCUGCAGCUGCGGUUGUGUCUUUGGGAGGUGGCUAGAGGAAAAGCAUUUUAGCUGAGCUCUCCACUGUAUGAAGUUAUUCAGAAGAACAUAAUGGAGUCACAGGAUAAGAAUGGAAGAGGGGAAUAUUCUGUUCUGCAGCUAUGGAGUGUGAAUAAUGAGCCUUCAUACCAUAGAGGCUUAAAGAGGUCACAGCUCACAUGAAUGUCACUCAGACACUGCUGUACUGUUUCUGAAACUUCUUUUGUAGAGCAGUAUGUACACUGCUAGUAGUAUCGGUGAGCCACACUAACCAUGUGUAACCAUACUAAGUCAUGGAAGGCUACUGGGUGAAUUUCAGAACGAAGGCAACAACCCCUACUGAAAGGACUAGGCCUUAUACUUAUGGCUUCCUUUCAGUUUGGCACCAUCUUUGUCUUUCAGGUGUGAGCUCAGAAUCUACUGCAUCAUCUGCACAGUGAUGACUGGCAAUGAAGAACAACUGCAAUUUCUGGAGGCAACCUGCACAGUUUCCUGAUGUUUGUGGUUAAGAUGGCCAUUGGAAAGCAUCUUCUCUGGCUACAUGGCACAGAGGAAACAAGCAGCAGUCCCUUACUCCAUCUCCUUCCCUAUGGACAACACUGCAUAUUUCGGCAUCAAAGAAAGGGAAGUUUGCAGUUUGCUUCUCUCAGCAGCAGCUCUUGGAGCCUCAAGAUGCUUAUUAAGGGAGAAAAGCAAACGGGAAUAAACGCAUUGAUUAAGUUGUGCUUAGCACAAACCCUGGAUAGUGAUUCAGAGUAA